rnacentral:tRNA from 1 species
AAAUAAGAAGCAAUAAUUUGCAUUUAAUUUCGACUUAAAAAUCUGAGUAUUCCUCUACUCCUUAUUUA